CGGAGGGUGCAAGCGUUAUCCGGAUUCACUGGGUUUAAAGGGUGCGUAGGCGGAUAGGGUAAGUCCGUGGUGAAAUCCUGCAGCUUAACUGCAGAACUGCCGUGGAUACUAUCUAUCUUGAAUAUCGUGGAGGUUAGCGGAAUAUGUCAUGUAGCGGUGAAAUGCUUAGAUAUGACAUAGAACACCCAUUGCGAAGGCAGCUAACUACGCGAUAAUUGACGCUGAUGCACGAAAGCGUGGGGAUCAAACAGGAUUAGAUACCCUGGUAGUCCACGCCCUAAACGAUGAUUACUCGACAUUGGUGAUACACAGUCAGUGUCUGAGCGAAAGCAUUAAGUAAUCCACCUGGGAAGUACGAUCGCAAGAUUG
rnacentral:rRNA from 1 species